rnacentral:misc_RNA from 1 species
GUGAAUCAUCAAAUUUUUGAACGCAAAUUGCACUCUCCUCGGAGAGUAUGCCUGUUUGAGGGUCAGCCUAUAAAAAAUCGACAUCGUUGCUGUUUCGCGGUGGCGUUCGUCGGAAAUUGGGUCAUCUUAAAUCCUUUUGGUUUUUAAAGGCCUAAAAUUUUUUUUUUGGUUCCAUUAACGGUUCCUAAGUUUAAUUUUUUUAAACUUUUAGGUAA